rnacentral:rRNA from 1 species
CGGGGGAGCAAGCGUUGUUCGGAAUCGACUGGGCGUAAAGGGCGUGUAGGCGGUCAAGUAACGUGGAAUGUGAAACGCCUCGGCUUACCCGAGGACCUGCAUCCCAAACUGCUUGGCUUGAGUAUGGGAGAGGAUGAGGGAAUUCCUGGUGUAGCGGUGAAAUGCGUAGAUAUCAGGAGGAACACCGGUGGCGAAAGCGCUCAUCUGGCCCAAUACUGACGCUGAGGCGCGAAAGCUAGGGGAGCAAACGGGAUUAGAUACCCCGGUAGUCCUAGCCGUAAACGGUGAUCACUAGGUGUUGGAGGCAUCGACCCCUCCAGUGCCGCAGCUAACGCAUUAAGUGAUCCGCCUGGGGAGUACGGCCGCAAGGUUG